CGACCUCGUCGCCGCCACUAACUCCUUCUCCGACGACAACUUCUUAGGCAAAGGCAGCCAUGGCAGCGUCUACAAAGCCACUCUCGACGCCGGAAAACUCAUCGCCGCCGUCAAAACAACAAAGCUCACCACCAAAACAACAACCUCCCGCCACCACCACCACCGCCACAUCACAACCCCCGCAGAAAACGAGAUCGAGAUUCUCUCUCAUGUAAACAGCACCCGAAUGGUGAACCUUAUCGGUUUCUCCACUGAUCCAAAUGGUAACAAAUUAAUCGUCGUUCAGUACAUGCCGAACGGUUCGUUACAUGAUUUACUUCACUCUCCGGUUCGACCACCCGGUUGGACCGAACGAAUCCGGUUCGCUCUCCAAGUCGCGAAAGCGUUCAUACACUUCACUCUUCUAACCCUCCAAUAAUUCAUCGAGACAUUAAAUCCUCUAACGUAUUAAUCGACGACGAUAGAAACGCGAGGCUCGGUGAUUUUGGACUUGCACUAAGGGGACACGUGGAGGACGUUCGCGUUUUGUGCACGCCACCGGCGGGGACGUUAGGUUAUCUCGAUCCAUGCUAUCUUGCGCCGGAGGAUCUCUGCGCCAAGACUGAUGUAUUCAGUUUCGGGAUCUUGUUAUUGGAGAUUGUAAGUGGAAGAAACGCUAUUGAUUUGAAUUACAGUCCUCCGUCGGUGUGGACUGGGCGGUGCCGUUGAUCAAGCGUGGUGAGUUCGGCUAUAUAUGUGACCGGCGGAUUGGAGUUCCGGCGGAUGCAGCGGUGGUGAGGCAGCUGGCGAUUCUGGCGGCGAGGUGCGUGAGGUCGACGGCGGAGAGGAGGCCGUCGAUGGAGGAGGUGGUGGAGGGUGUUAAGAAUGUGAGGAAGAGGAUUGGUGCGGUGGCGGUGUGGAGUGGGUUGAGCAGGCGCGUGGCGCG